ACCAUGUGUCUUUGUCUGUGUUCAUUGGUGCAGUUGACUAUGAGGUCAAGUACCUGGAGCUUGAAAUACUUGGUAAAGGAAGCUUUGGCUCAGUUUAUGCCGGCCAUAGGAGGUCUGAUGAUUUACUAGUGGCGAUAAAACACAUCCCCUAAUCGUCUGUUCCGCCUCAAAGAGUGAUGUUAAAUGGGAGGCCACACAGUAUUCCCAAGGAGGUGCUGCUCAUGCAGAAAGCUGCAGGCGAACCAAUGACUGUGGGUUAAUGGACUGGUACGAUCUGGA